AUCGAACGCUGGCGGCAGGCCUAACACAUGCAAGUCGAACGAGUGGCGGACGGGUGAGUAAUGUCUGGGAAACUGCCCGAUGGAGGGGGAUAACUACUGGAAACGGUAGCUAAUAACGCAUACCAUCGGAUGUGCCCAGAUGGGAUGAGCUUGUAGGUGAGGUAACGGCUCAACUAGGCGACGAUCCCUAGCUGGUCUGAGCGGAGGACCAGCCACACUGGAACUGAGACACUGUCUAGACGACUACGGUAGGCAGCAGUUGGGAAUAUUGCGCAAUGGGCGCAAGCCUGAUUCAGCCAGGCCGCGUGUAUGAAGAAGGCCUUCGGGUUGUAAAAUACUUUCAGCGGGGAGGCGUUACCCGCAGAAGAAUCACCGGCUAACUCCGUGCCAGCAGCCGCGGUAAUUC
rnacentral:rRNA from 1 species